CGGCAGGCUUAAUACAUGCAAGUCGAGGGGCAUCAAGGUACACGAAAGUGUAUUGUUGGCGACCGGCGGACGGGUGAGUAAUAGGUAGGUAACCUACCUCAUACUGAGGCAUAGCUGGGAGAAAUUCCAGGUAAUUCCUCAUGAGGUUAUAUGACACAUGUGAUAUAAUCAAAGGUAUCGCAAGGGUACUGGUAUGAGAUGGGCUUACUGACCAUUAGUUAGUUGGUGAGGUAAGAGCUCACCAAGGCGAUGAUAGAUAGGCGGCCUUAACGGGUGGUCGCCCACACUGGGAUUGAGAUACGGCCCAGACUCCUACGGGAGGCAGCAGUCGAGAAUAGUCUACAAUGGCCGGAAGGCUGAUAGUGCGACGCCGCGUGAACGAGGGAGCCCUUCGGGGUGUAAAGUUCUUUUCUAUACGAGCAGUGCUAUAUAUAUGGAUAGUAUAUAUAGAGGGAUAGUAGUAUAGGAAUAAGCAACGGCUAACUCCGUG
rnacentral:rRNA from 1 species